GACGAACGCUGGCGGCGUGCUUAACACAUGCAAGUCGAACGGAAAGGCCCUGCUUGCAGGGUACUCGAUUGGCGAACGGGUGAGUAACACGUUGGUGAUCUGCCCUGCACUUCGGGAUAAGCUUUGGAAACUGGGUCUAAUACCGGAUAGGAACCAUCUUUAGUGUGGUGGUUGGAAAGUUUUUUCGGUGUAGGAUGAGCUCGCGGCCUAUCAGCUUGUUGGUGGGGUAAUGGCCUACCAAGGCGGCGACGGGUAGCCGGCCUGAGAGGGUGUACGGCCACAUUGGGACUGAGAUACGGCCCAGACUCCUACGGGAGGCAGCAGUGGGGAAUAUUGCACAAUGGGCGCAAGCCUGAUGCAGCGACGCCGCGUGGGGGAUGAAGGCCUUCGGGUUGUAAACUCAUUUCGCUAGGGACGAAGCUUUUUGUGACGGUACCUAGAUAAGAAGCACCGGCUAACUACGUG
rnacentral:rRNA from 1 species